ACGGAGGAGGCAAGCGUUAUCCGGAAUUAUUGGGCGUAAAGCGUCCGCAGGCGGUUAUUUAAGUCUGUUGUCAAAGCCCACAGCUCAACUGUGGAUCGGCAAUGGAAACUGAAUGACUUGAGUGUGGUAGGGGUAGAGGGAAUUCCCGGUGUAGCGGUGAAAUGCGUAGAUAUCGGGAAGAACACCAGUGGCGAAGGCGCUCUACUGGGCCACAACUGACGCUGAGGGACGAAAGCUAGGGGAGCGAAAGGGAUUAGAUACCCCUGUAGUCCUAGCUGUAAACGAUGGAUACUAGGUGUUGGACGUAUCGACCCGUGCAGUACCGUAGCUAACGCGUUAAGUAUCCCGCCUGGGGAGUACGCACGCAAGUGUGAAACUCAAAGGAAUUGACGGGGGCCCGCACAAGCGGUGGAGGAUGUGGUUUAAUUCGAUGCAACGCGAAGAACCUUACCAAGGCUUGACAUGUCACGAAU
rnacentral:rRNA from 1 species